UACGUAGGGGGCUAGCGUUGUCCGGAAUCAUUGGGCGUAAAGAGCGUGUAGGCGGCCCGGUAAGUCCGCUGUGAAAGUCGGGGGCUCAACCCUCGAAUGCCGGUGGAUACUGUCGGGCUAGAGUGCGGAAGAGGCGAGUGGAAUUCCCGGUGUAGCGGUGAAAUGCGCAGAUAUCGGGAGGAACACCAAUGGCGAAGGCAGCUCGCUGGGACGGUACUGACGCUGAGACGCGAAAGCGUGGGGAGCAAACAGG
rnacentral:rRNA from 1 species